rnacentral:rRNA from 1 species
CUUUAAAAGUAGCGGAUGGGUGAUAAACGCGGGACCAACCUUCCUUACCCAAUGGGAUAACCCAUUGGAAACGAUGAUUAAAACCCAUAUGAGACCUGGAAGAAGCAUUUUUUGCAGGUUAAAAUUUAGGGAAGUGUAAGAUGGGGCUCGCGUUUGAUUAGCCAGUUUGGAGAGGUAACGGUUCACCAAGACGACGAAUGGGGUUAGCCCGGCCUGAGAGGGUGAACGGCCACACUGGAACUGAGACACGGUCCAGACUCCUACGGGAGGCAGCAGUGGGGAAAUAUUGCACAAUGGAGGAAACUCUGAUGCAGCGACGCCGCGUGAACGAUGAAAGCUUUCGAGUCGUAAAGUUCUGUCCUUGGGGACGAUAAUGACGGUACCCAAGGAGGAAGCCCCGGCUAACUACGUGCCAGCAGCCGCGGUAAUACGUAGGGGGCAAGCGUUGUCCGGAAUUAUUGGGCGUAAAGGGUUCGCAGGUGGCCUUUUAAGUCAGAUGUGAAAGAUCAAGGCUUAACCUUGGUAAGCAUUUGAAACUGAAAGGCUUGAGUUAAGGAGAGGAAAGUGGAAUUCCUAGUGUAGCGGUGAAAUGCGUAGAUAUUAGGAGGAAUACCAGUGGCGAAGGCGACUUUCUGGACUUAUACUGACACUGAGGAACGAAAGCAUGGGGAGCAAACAGGAUUAGAUACCCUGGUAGUCCAUGCCGUAAACGAUGAGUGCUAGGUGUCGGGGGUCAAACCUCGGUGCCGGAGCUAACGCA